GGUGUCUGAUUUUGCUUUACAUGAAUUCCGUGUAUAUUUUAAACGCAGUUUUAUUCAAACACAAUCUAUUUUGGUUUUUUUUCCUAGAAGAACAGAUAUUUUUUUAAAUGGAAGUAUUUCUCCACCUGCUGGCUUCAAGGAGGAUAUUGCAGCCUUCCAAACAGACAACUUCAUACAGGCAGUGGAAUACCUGCAUAAUAAAAGUCUGUUUGGGAUCAACAACAUUUCUGUGCUGAUACUCUGGAACUGCUGCAUCUGUAGUAAGUAGUUUUGGAGCAGGACUGGUGAGAAGAGGACUGGAGGAUAUAACAUGAACUGCCUACAUCAAUCUAAAGCCUGGAAAGUUUUUAAUGGUUUUAAUGUGAAAACACUCCUGUUGUGAGGCCCUAAAGAACUCCUCCUAGAAAAGUGCAACCAAAGAAUAACCAAAAAUGAUGAUAAUUCAAUGUGAUGUAAGCAAUGCCACAGUUGAAGACUGCUCUCCAGAAGAGACCAAAAUCACAGCAGUGUUUGCUAACAAGGCUAUAACUUCACAUGAUUGGCACUGUAGUUUUGAGGAAAUUUCAACAUGUUGGUCAUUUCACAAGAAAUUGCAAGUAGUUUUGUUAGGUAAAUGUUGAUCAUUUGACAGAAGUUAGAUAGCAAUAUCUAUUCAGUAUUCAGUGUUGCACUAGAGAAGACAUUUAUGCUAUAAUAAAACAAUGUAAUUCUGAUAACCAAUCUAUUGUGAUAUGAAAAUAUGGCUGAACCUUAUUCAAUUCCAUAUAGGGAAAUAUCUUGAUGACUGAGACAUAUUUAGUUGCCAAAAUCCACUGAAUUUCUGAAACAUCUCAGUAAAAAAGAGACCCUAUAGUGUGAUUAAAAAAUUUAGUAAAGCAAAAGGUGCAGGUAUCAGUGAAGAUUAUUUUUUGUAUUCAUUCAUACAUGAGCCAUGGUCCCUAAUCAUGACAAUUCUUAGACUGUAGACUGGUAUUCAGAGAAAAUGGACAUACAACUGACAUUUUUUUGCUAAACAGAACCAAAUGCAUAAUUUGGAGUCUAGAAGACAAAAUAAAGAUGGAAAGCACUGGAUUUGGAAAAGGUGAAAGAAAAUUAGAAUAAAAUCGUACAUUCACACAAACACUUACAUUGAAAAGAACUUUAAGAAUCCAACCAUUAAUCCAGCACUGCCAAGACUACCGCGGAACAAUGUCUGUAAGUGCCACAUCUAUAUGACUUUUAAAUAUGUGAUGGUGACUCCACCACUUCCCUGAGCAGCCUUUUCUAGUGCUUGACAACCCUUCCAGUGAAUUUUUUUUUCCUGAUAUCAAAUAUAAACUUCCCCUGAUGGAACUUGAGCCUGUUUCCUCUAUCUUAUUGUUGAACAUCUGGAAGGAAGGAACAAUACCCAGCUGGCUACAGCCUCCUUUCAGGUGGUUGUACACAUCAAUAAUGUCUCCCCUCAGCCUUCUUUUUUCAGUCGAAACAACCCCAACUCCCUCAUCCACUCCUCAUAAGACUUAUGCUUUAAACUCUAGGUCCUUUUCCACUGGGCCACUUUCUAGACAUUUUUCCCCAAGUGUAUAAUUGCUGCCUGGAGUUGUUGUGACCCAAGUGCAGGACCAGGACCCAGCACUGUGCCUUGUUGCACCUCAUACAGAUGGCCUUCGCCCAUCAAUCCAACCUAUCCAGAGGCUUCCUACACUCCAGCAGAUCAACACUCCAGCCCUGCUUGGUAUCAUCUGCAAAAUGACUGAAGGUGCAGUUUAUCCACUUGUCAAAAUCACUGACAAAGAUACUCAACAGGCGUGGCCCCAGCUCUGAGCCCUGAGGAACACCACUUGUGACUGGCCACCCACUGGAUGCUACUCUGCUCUCUGGGCUCCAUCAUCCGGGCAGAUUUCUUACCCAGCCAACAGUAAGCAGUGCAGAAUUUUGUGGCAAAGUAUGUUGAAGUCUUUACCUGAUGCCCAUGGUAUAUGUCUAAGGUGACCUCACACCUUAUUUGUCAGAGAAUCUAAAAAUGUCAUUUUGUGAUCAUUGAUGAAAAAGUGAAAAGCUGGUCAGCAAACGGAAAGCAUUGAAAUGUUUACAUAUUAAAAAAUAGUCAUUGUUAGCAGUGUCAUCCAGUGCCUGAGUGAAUAAACUGCAAGGGCCAAGAGACUCAUGCAGGAGAGAAUUGUUCGAGUAGAAAAGAUUUUCCUGGUUCUGUCAAAGCAUACUUGAAGAGUGGGAAUCUCAACUAAAACCAAACUCUCAGCUUUCUGAGCUGGCAAUAACAGAGGUGGUCACUCUGUUCUACUUGAAGCUAAGGGAGAACAGGCUUUGGAAUAUAUGCUUUUAAUUUUGCUUUCAUAAAUAUUUGAUGAAUAGCUUUAGUAUAUAAAAAUAUUUGGACUCUUAACAUAAAGUGGGCCAGUUCAGCUCUCCUCUCACAAACCUAUGAAACAGACAAAACAGCUCCAGUUUUUAAUGUAUUGAUAUGCCUCUUCUGCUUUCUAAUAUUUGUACAGCUAUUCCUGGAGAAAGAUUAGGACCACUUUUCCGGCAGUCAGAUAUAACCAGACAGCACUCUGAAAAGUCUGUCCAUUAAGUCAAAAGUCAUCUAAUAUUGUAAAAGAAAAGAUAGAGCAGCAGAGGAGGGAAGGAUGAACUAGUCAGCAGCAAGAACGUGGCUAUUUUAGGGAACAGAACUACAGGGUCAGCUUCACAUUUUGAACCAAUGAGUUACAACCAUUAGCUUCACAUUUGUUCUGAGGAAUCAAUGAACAGAUUGAACAUGCAUAUGACAGAAUUCUAAAUAGAUUUUUAGCUUUUUUUUUAGCAAGUUAUUGAAGUUUUUUAAAAGAAAACUUUGUUUAAACAGAAGUUUAAAAGGAAAGAAAACAUUCUUCUCCUCAGAACUAUUUUUCUGCCAACGGUCAGUAACUUAAAGGGACAAAAAGGUGCAAAAAAAAUUAUUCAGCUAGGGUGGUUAUUUCACUUUUUUCCUAAAUCUGUAAUGCACAUCAUUAAUUACUAUAAUCUUAGAACUAUGCAUCUUCAUCACUCUAAUCUUAAAUCUAUUUUUUCUUAAUUAAAAUGGUCAUCUGUGAGUAACUAGAGGAUUUCUAAUCCAAAUAAAUUUAGAGAGUUUUUGUGUGUAUGUGUGUGAAAUCAUCUGUACAUCAUAUUUAUACUGUGGUGUAAAACAAGAAAUCCUUGAUGAAGUAAUGUACUAAAAAUCCUCUUCAUAAUAUUUUUUUUUAUUUUAAAAGAUAUAAUUACUCUUCAGGUUUAAUUUGCUGAUUUUGAAUCUUUUCAUAGAAGCUUUUAAAUAUUUCUGUUAGUGGAGAUGCCUAUGAAUACGUGCAAUCUUGGGGUGUAUAAAUAAAUUUGAUUUGUUUUCAAGGAAACUAAACUACAAGAAGCAGGUGGACUUCAAAUGCUUUUCAAAUUCUGGUGGAAAUGUAAGUAUCCAGCCCAAAAGUUGUUCCUGCAGGCGGUGUUGAACAAUUUUGCUUAUUGUUCUGCAGACUAUUUCUGCUAG